rnacentral:rRNA from 1 species
UACGAAGGGGGCUAGCGUUGUUCGGAAUUACUGGGCGUAAAGCGUAUGCAGGCGGAUCGUUAAGUCGGGGGUGAAAUCCCGAGGCUCAACCUCGGAACUGCCUUCGAUACUGGCGAUCUUGAGUCCGGGAGAGGUGAGUGGAACUGCGAGUGUAGAGGUGAAAUUCGUAGAUAUUCGCAAGAACACCAGUGGCGAAGGCGGCUCACUGGCCCGAUACUGACGCUGAGGUGCGAAAGCGUGGGGAGCAAACAGG